CCCGCCCCCGGUCUCCCCUGCCCUCCCCUCACGGGCCACCGCCCCGCCCCGCCGGGCCCGGCCCGGCCCCGCCGCCCGGCCCGCGCCGCUCCGCGCCCACCGCGCUGGGGCCGCCGCGCUGCCCGGCUCCGCUGCGGGCCGGGGGGUACCACGGCCCGGCCCGGCUCGAUACAGCCCGGCUCGGUGCGGUCGGGCUCGGCGCGGCCCGGCAGGAGGGCGGCUGCGAUCUGCCGCGGCCGGCGAUGGGAGAUGGAGGGAACCGGCGGUGCGGCAGAAGCACUUGUGUGGGAUAAUGAUGUAUCGGCUCAUGCCCAGAACGUUGCCAAGGCCAAAUAUGAAUUUUUAUUUGGCUUGAAAGAAGAGAAGCCUUCAGGAAGGGGUUGAAGCUGCUGGUCAUUUUCAGAAGAGAGAGGGGAAAAUAAAAAGUUAGAUGGCUUUAGAAGAGGUGUGUCACCAAUGAUAUUCAAAUGCUAAUAAAGCUG
rnacentral:lncRNA from 1 species